AUGCGUGCUCUGGAGCUGUUGGACGAGCUGGUGGCAGCAAAUCCGUCGUGUUGUUUACUGUCAACAAAUGCAGUCAAUGGCACCGAUGCUGCAGAAACUAUCCGCCUGCGUGCCACGGUUGGGAACCAAACCAUGCUGUUUUUGGUCGAUUCGGGCAGUACACACAGUUUUGUUAAUGUCUCCUUUGCUCAACGCAUUGCUGCAACGACAACGGUGAUACCCACAAUUGUUGUCAGAGUAGCCAAUGGGCAAAACUUACAACGCACUGAACUUGUCCCGAAGCUGAACCAGACAGUUCAAGGUCACAAGUUCGCUACAGACAUGAGAGUCCUGCAACUCGGGGUCUAUGACGCAGUUUGGGGAGUGGAUUGGCUUGCCCAGCAUAGUCCGAUGCAGUGCGAUUGGAAACUGAAAACAAUGCAGUUUGUCAGCGAAGGUGCAGCCGUUCAUCUCACCGGCGUCCGAUCGGAUGAGACACCAGCCAUCACAGCCUUGGAUGCAUCACAGCUGUGGCAGAUGCAGGAAGCAAAUGAGAUUUGGGGAGCUGCUCUUGUGGACUUACAGACCUUGCCCUCACACAAUCCAGAAGCUCCUCUUCCUCCUGUUAUCAAGCAAAUCCUGACAGAUUUCAGUGACGUAUUCGAGGAACCAACAACACUUCCUCCUCACAGACAGUAUGAUCAUGCCAUCAACCUCGAACUAGGAGCCGCUCCCGUUAACUGUCGACCUUACCGUUACUCUCCCUUGCAAAAAGAUGAGAUCGAACGGCAAGUAGCUGAAAUGUUGCGCACUGGGCUAAUCACUCACAGUAUGAGUCCAUUCGCGGCUCCCGUGCUCUUGGUGAAGAAGAAAGAUGGGACAUGGCGGUUUUGCGUCGAUUACCGCCGCCUCAACACAGUCACAAUUAAAAACAAGUUUCCAUUACCAGUCAUCGAUGAACUAUUGGAUGAACUCGCGGGGGCGGCCUUCUUUUCCAAGAUUGACCUGAGAGCUGGAUACCACCAAAUACGCAUGAGGGAAGGUGAUGAAGAGAAAACAGCCUUUAAAACACAUCAUGGGCACUUUCAGUUUCGAGUCAUGCCGUUCGGCGUCACUAACGUUUCAAUGCGUGAUGAACUCAGUACUCUCCGGGCCAAAUCGUAA
rnacentral:rRNA from 1 species